GGCAACCCUGACGGAGCAAGACCGCGUGAGGGAGGAAGGCUCUUGGGUUGUAAACCUCUUUUCUCAGGGAAGAAGUUCUGACGGUACCUGAGGAAUCAGCAUCGGCUAACUCCGUGCCAGCAGCCGCGGUAAUACGGAGGAGGCAAGCGUUAUCCGGAAUUAUUGGGCGUAAAGCGUCCGCAGGUGGCGAUUCAAGUCUGCUGUCAAAGCACGGGGCUUAACUCCGUUAAGGCAGUGGAAACUGAAUAACUUGAGAGCGGUAGGGGUAGAGGGAAUUCCCGGUGUAGCGGUGAAAUGCGUAGAUAUCGGGAAGAACACCAGUGGCGAAGGCGCUCUACUGGGCCGCGACUGACGCUGAGGGACGAAAGCUAGGGGAGCG
rnacentral:rRNA from 1 species